CAGUAGCCGCGGUAAUACGAAGGGGGCUAGCGUUGUUCGGAUUUACUGGGCGUAAAGCGCACGUAGGCGGAUCGAUCAGUCAGGGGUGAAAUCCCAGAGCUCAACUCUGGAACUGCCUUUGAUACUGUCGAUCUGGAGUAUGGAAGAGGUGAGUGGAAUUCCGAGUGUAGAGGCGAAAUUCGUAGAUAUUCGGAAGAACACCAGUGGCGAAGGCGGCUCACUGGCUCAUUCUAGACGCUGAGGUGCGAAAGCGUGGGGAGCAAACAGGAUUAGAUACCCCAGUAGUCCCUGUCUCUUAUAC
rnacentral:rRNA from 1 species